rnacentral:tRNA from 1 species
GGAGGGGUGGCAGAGUCCGGUUUAAUGCGACGGUCUUGAAAACCGUUGAUGGGUAACCAUCCGGGGGUUCGAAUCCCUCCCCCUCCGCCA